UCCUGAAAGUUAUGGAAAGGAGAUUAUUGGCAUGGUGUUUGGCCCACUGAGCCACUAUUAUCAACGUGAAUAAGGAGAUCUUAAUUUAGUUAAGAAAUAUACAUCUUUUGUUUCUUGACGAGUCAUUUGAGCAUCCUUUCUUCUUCAUUUCUUUUUUAAUUAUUUUUUUUUUUUUUUUUUCGGAGGAUGGAAUUUGCAGGAACCUGCUUGAGUAAUUGCUAUACUUCCUAUGUAAAGACUUUGAACUGACAGUUGUUGGGCUGGGAUUUUGCAUGCUAAGGGCUAUUAAAUGGGAUUUCUAUCAGAAGCAGUGAUUCUUCAUUCUAAAGAUAUUCAGAGGACGAUGAAAUGUGAAAAUUUGUAUCCGGAAGAAGGAAAGUUAGUAUAUCAGUUGUCUUGCUGCUGCAAAAGGUUAAUGGGUACUCAAUGAAAAUGAAGAUCUGAAUACUGAUGCUGUGAAGUUUUUUGCAUAUGUCAGACCAACCUUCUCAUCAAGCUUAUUACUUAUUAAAGCCCUCAAGUAAUUUGGUCAAUCAUUGUUUUGCUUUUCCUCGAUUCUACUAUUCCCAAUAAUUUCACAUU